GUGCCAGCAGCCGCGGUAAUACGUAUGGUGCAAGCGUUAUCCGGAUUUACUGGGUGUAAAGGGAGCACAGGCGGUACGGCAAGUCUGAUGUGAAAUCCCGGGGCUCAACCCCGGUACUGCAUUGGAAACUGUCGGACUAGAGUGUCGGAGGGGUAAGUGGAAUUCCUAGUGUAGCGGUGAAAUGCGUAGAUAUUAGGAGGAACACCAGUGGCGAAGGCGGCUUACUGGACGAUUACUGACGCUGAGGCUCGAAAGCGAGGGGAGCAAACAGGAUUAGAAACCCGGGUAGUCC
rnacentral:rRNA from 1 species